UAAAGUUGCUUUGCUACCAUGUUGCACCCUACCUGAAUUACACCUGAACCAAAAAGACAAGUGUUGCACCAGAAAAUUGGAGGGUGAGAAACUGUGCGUCCCUCUGCCUCUAUUACAGAACCCCUGCAUCAACAUGGGUUUGCCUCAACAGUUGACCAUCUGUGCUGGAUUACUGGAAAAGUUGGAACUUUCCUCUGCAAGUCUUCCUAAUCUAUUCAACCUGGCACCCAUAGCAGGAUGCCGGCUUUGUAGGCGCAGGAGUGGAACAUGCAGGACGCACAAAACAGUCUUCCUCCUCAGCGUAAGGGCUCAUCUGGAGCGGCCGAUCCACGUUCAAGCACGGCGCCACAAGAAAAACGCAGGCCAACCUGACAGCCGCCUUGCGGAAGUGGCAUGAUCAGAGGGGGCUUUAAAUAUGCAGCCUAGAAGGGAUGCCUGGGUCACCCCAACAAGUUAAUCGGGGAAGAGAAGACUGAAAGGGGAGACGAGACAAAUUUGUAAAAGAUGGCUGCAAAGAGGAAGGUGGCAGAUGCCUCUGCACCCCUUCGUCCUGUGCCCCCAGCCUCCUCGCAGAUGGAAGCACUGGCAGAAAAGCCUUUUUCAGAGCUCCGAGGCCUUGCAGACAGCACCUUGCCAUCCAGCUCACAGCCUUCCUACCAUGGGCACUGCAAAAUUCACACUUUAGUAGGUGAAGUGGUGGUGGUGGUACAGUAAAAGCAAAGAUGAUCUGUUGCACGAAAGCCACCUGAAGUUUACUUAGUCAAAAAACAAGCAGCUGGUCAGUGCUAGAGAACACCAGGGGAAAACAUGUUGUAUUUUAACCAACUCUGCAGAGAGCUUCAGCUUCCAGGCUGGCACAAGGCCAACCCUUGCCAGGGAUGUGGAAGUGCUGAGGACCAGGACUGCAGGGCCAAUGGUGGCCUUGGGAGCUGCAGCAUCCUGCUGCUCGGCGCUGACUGAGAUUAUGAUAGCCUUGAGGGAAAAAAAAAAAACCCACUAGUAUAACCAGCUUAAAAACAGAGAAGCUGUAAGAGUCUGAAGUGUUCUGGCACGUGUCACCCAGGCUAGUUGCCUAUUAAUACCCAUAGGAGCAAAGACCACACGUUCAGCUAACCACAGCCAAGUUGCAGAGCCCUCAAGCAGGUAUUCCAGCACACCGUUGGUACUGGCCACUGUGAAUGAGGCAUUUCCAGUCUUACCUUAAGUUGCUAUUUUAUUUUUAUCGACAUUUUCUUACUGAUUUAUUACUAUGCUUUAAGAAUUAAAAUUCAACUUGUUUGCAAUAGCACCUCCUGUUACCAUCUUUUUUUUUGGGUGCGGGCUCUAACUUUCCUUAGGGCUUCAGGAAAAACACAAGAAAAUAAGGUAUGCCAUUAAAAUAUGCAAUGUUCUAGAAAUCCUAAUUCAGCAGUACAAAAUAAUCCACUGAAAACUAUUCAGCAGUUUUUAGUAUUACGUUCUGUUUCCAUGAUAGUCAUCUCUGAAAAGAGGUGACACUGUCAAUUUGUGCAUUAGCAGAUAUAGUAAGACUGACAAGUCUAUCUCUACCUCAUUCUCCCUUUCUCACGCCUUUCUUCUAUACACUGUGUGCUUGUGACAUUGACUGCCAGCACUAAGAACCUAAACCAAUUUUUGCUGUUAGUACUGUAUGUGUUGACCUUGAAAAACCUGCUCUUUGUGCAGCUUCCUUUCCAUCCACAGACCCAAAUAAAACAAGGUUUCGGACAGAUUUUGCCGUUACUUUUUGUACUUGCCCAUGAGUUUACUGCCUUGCUUAAGUAAAGAAAGAAGUGGGGAAGGAACGGUGAAAGGGGAUGCGCUGACAGGAAUCGCCCAUUUUACUAUCCACGGUCUCCCGGAAACAUCAGCAUGAAAUGCAGACUUUACUGUAAACCACGCAGAACCUGCUGAGCACUUCUCAACUCAGCUUUUAUGGGACUCGGACAUGUAUGACAACGUUUCCCUUUUUUCCCUCUGUGUCACGUCUUCCCACAACCAUAGCCUCUGGAGCAAUCUUGAGCGUCUCUUGGGUCGCAUGCACGACACCGCUCUCGUGGGCUGGGAAGGUUAGACCAGAACUGUGUGGCCACAGGGUAACAAGGGG